GGACCCGCACAAGCGGAGGAGUAUGUGGUUUAAUUCGAAGCAACGCGAAGAACCUUACCAACUCUUGACAUACCAAUGAAGAUAGUAGAGAUAAUAUUGUUCCUUCGGGACAUUGGAUACAGGUGGUGCAUGGUUGUCGUCAGCUCGUGUCGUGAGAUGUUGGGUUAAGUCCCGCAACGAGCGCAACCCUUGUCGUUAGUUACCAUCAUUUAGUUGGGGACUCUAACGAGACUGCUCGUGCAAGCGAGAGGAAGGUGGGGAUGACGUCAAAUCAUCAUGCCCCUUAUGAGUUGGGCUACACACGUACUACAAUGGCCGGUACAAAGGGGAGCGAAAUGGUGACAUGGAGCAAAUCUCAAAAAGCCGGUCUAAGUUCGGAUUGCAGUCUGCAACUCGACUGCAUGAAGGAGGAUUCGCUAGUAAUCGUAGGUCAGCAUACUA
rnacentral:rRNA from 1 species